CGAGUUUGAUCCUGGCUCAGGACGAACGCUGGCGGUGCGCCUUAUGCAUGCAAGUCGAGCGAAGCUUUUCAGUAGUUUACUACAGAAAAUGACUGAGCGGCGAACGGGUGAGUAACGCGUGAGCAAUCUACCUUAGUUACAGGGAUAGCCCGAGGAAACUCGGAUUAAUACCUGAUAUUCUUUACAUUUCGCAUGAAAUCAAAAGGAAAGGUCAGCCGAACUAAGAUGAGCUCGCGUUCUAUCAGCUAGUUGGUGAGGUAAAAGCUCACCAAGGCAACGACGGAUAGCUGGUCUGAGAGGACGAUCAGCCACACUGGGACUGAGACACGGCCCAGACUCCUACGGGAGGCUGCAGCAGGGAAUAUUGCGCAAUGAGCGAAAGCUUGACGCAGCGACACCGCGUGUGGGAUGACGGAUCUAGGUUUGUAAACCACUUUCAGGAGGGAAGAAAAUGACGGUACCUCCACAAGAAGCCCCGGCCAACUACGUGCCAGCAGCCGCGGUAAUACGUAGGGGGCGAGCGUUGUCCGGAUUUAUUGGGCGUAAAGAGCUCGUAGGCGGUUCAACAAGUCGUUCGUAAAAGUUCAGGGCUCAACCCUGAAAUGUCGAUCGAUACUGUUGUGACUAGGAUACGGUAGAGGUGAGUGGAAUUCCGAGUGUAGCGGUGAAAUGCGUAGAUAUU
rnacentral:rRNA from 1 species